GUGUCAGCAGCCGCGGUAAUACAGAGGUCACAAGCGUUAUCCGGAUUUAUUGGGCGUAAAGCGUUUCGUAGGUGGGUUUAUAAGUUAUUUUUCAAAGACCAGGGCUCAACCUUGGGAAGGGAGAUAAUACUGUAAGUCUUGAUUUUUGGUGGGGUAUCUGGAACUGAUGGUGUAGUAGUGAAAUACGUUGAUAUCAUCAGGAACUCCAAGGGCGAAGGCAGGAUACUAACCAAUUAAUGACACUGAGGAACGACAGCUAGGGGAGCGAAAGGGAUUAGAUACCCUCGUAGUCC
rnacentral:rRNA from 1 species